rnacentral:rRNA from 1 species
AGAUUAAACUGAAGAGUUUGAUCAUGGCUCAGAUUGAACGCUGGCGGCAGGCUUAACACAUGCAAGUCGAGCGGUAACAGAUCUAGCUUGCUAGAUGCUGACGAGCGGCGGACGGGUGAGUAACGCGUAGGAACCUGCCCAGUAGUGGGGGAUAGCCCGGUGA